rnacentral:misc_RNA from 1 species
UUCAAUCCUCGCAAGCCUCGCGGCAAAUCAGACCCGUUUUCCAGCGGACUCGAGCCGGUCUCCAUCAACACACGGUCCCUGAUAUCAGGAGACCAGGGCCGGUAAUCGACUCUCCGUCUUUUACGGAGAUUUUCGGGUUUUGCCGAUUGGAUUGUGGCUGAUUUGAGUGUGGCGGUUUGGGAUAAGACCACCGCGGCAUCGAAAUCCCGGUCGUAGACCUGAUCGCGGCACGCACAGCAGAAGAUCUCCGCGCGAUCAACGUCCACCGCGAUCUCAUGGCCUGGAGGCAUGGAAGUGGCAUGCGCAGCCGCGUGGGAUGGUCCGGGAGGCGCGUGGCAAGAGAUAGCCGCGCAUGCCAAGCAAGCGUAAAGCCGGGGCCGCGCAGACUCUCCGCACGCGCCGCAGCGAGGAACCUCGGAGGGGUCCCGGCGUAUAGCUGCCCGUCCGCCCGGUGG